AGCGGCAGGCGAGGUAGGAACACGUAGGUACGUACCCCAAAGUCAGGGAUAACCCGGCGAAAGUGGGAGUAAUACUUGAUAGUCUCUUCGGAGUAAAGAUUUAUCGCUAAGGGAACGGCCUGCGUUCUAUCAGCUUGUUGGUAAGGUAACGGCUUACCAAGGCUACGACGGAUAGGGGAGGUGAGAGCCUGACCCCCACCGAUGGAACUGCGACACGGUCCAUACUCCUACGGGAGGCCGCAGUCGAGAAUCUUCCGCAAUGGACGAAAGUCUGACGGAGCGACGCCGCGUGGUGGAUGAAGUCUUUCGGGACGUAAACACCUUUUUUGAGGGAGGAAGUUUAUUGACGUUACCUCAUGAAUAAGGGGCUCCCAAUUCUGUGCCAGCAGGAGCGGUAAUACAGAAGCCCCGAGCAUUACCCGGAUUCACUGGGCGUAAAGGGUGCGUAGGCGGAUAUGUUAGUCAGGUGUUAAAUCCUGGGGCUCAACCCCAGGCUCGCAUUUGAAACGGCAUAUCUAGAAGACGUGAGAGGUGAACAGAACUCUCGGUGUAGGGGUGAAAUCCGUUGAUAUCGAGGGGAAUACCAAAUGCGAAGGCAGUUCACUGGCGCGUUCUUGACGCUGAGGCACGAAAGCGAGGGUAGCGAACGGGAUUAGAUACCCCGGUAGUCCACGCCCUAAACGAGGUCUGCUAGCUUUUUCGAGUAUCGACCCUCGAAGAGGCGAAGGUAACCCGUAA
rnacentral:rRNA from 1 species